rnacentral:rRNA from 1 species
GUGCCAGCCGCCGCGGUAAAACGUAGGAGGCAAGCGUUAUCCGAAUUUACUGGGCGUAAAGCGUGUGCAGGUGGCUGGGUAAGUUGGAUGUGAAAUCUCCUGGCUCAACUGGGAGAGGUCGUUCAAAACUGCCGAGCUCGAGGGCGGUAGAGGGAGGUGGAAUUCCGGGUGUAGUGGUGAAAUGCGUAGAUAUCCGGAGGAACACCUGUGGCGAAAGCGGCCUCCUGGACCGUACCUGACGCUAAGACACGAAAGCUAGGGGAGCGAACGGGAUUAGAUACCCUUGUAGUCC